GAUGAACGCUGGCGGCGUGCCUAAUACAUGCAAGUCGAGCGAACAGACGCGGCUCUUGCUCCUCUCUCGUUAGCGGCGGACGUGUGUGUAACACGUGUAUCCCCUCCUUAUCAGUCUGGUAUCUUUUCGGGACUCCGGCUCUAAUCCCGUAUAAUAUCUUGCUCCGUAUUGUUCGAUAGUGAAAUACGGUUUUUCUGUCUCUUCUCGCUGCUUCUGGGCUGCUUUAGCUAGUUGUUACGUUAACGGCUUACCACGGCGACGAUGCGUAGCCGACCUGAGGGGGUGAUAGGCCACACUGGAGCUGAGACGCGGUCCAGACGCCUACGGGAGGCAGCAGUAGGGAAUCGGACGCAAUGGGCGAAAGCAUGACGGAGCAAGGCCGCGUGAGAGAUGAAGGUCUUGGGAGCGUAAAACUCUGUUAUUAGGGAAGAACAAAUGUGGAAGUAACUAUGCACGGAGUGACGGUACCUAAUAAGAAAGCCACGGCUAACUACGUG
rnacentral:rRNA from 1 species